GCACAGUGAUGCGUAGUCCCAGCCACUCAGGAGGCUGAGGCAGGAGGAUCACUUGAGCCACAGGAGUUGUGGGUUUUAGUGCAUUAUACCAGUUGGGUGUCUGCCUUAACUUCGGCAUCAGUAGAAUGACCUCUUAGAAGCAGGGGCCACCAGGUUGCCCAAGGAGGGUGAGCCAGCCCGGGUUGCAAAUAGAGCAGAUCAAACAACUCUCCUAUGCUGAUCAGUAGUGAGAUUGCACCUGUAAAAAGCCACUGCACUCUAGCCUGGACAACAUAAUGAAACCUGUCUCU
rnacentral:SRP_RNA from 1 species